UGCCUAACACAUGCAAGUCGAACGGGGCCCGGAAGGGUUCAGUGGCGAACGGGUGCGUAACACGUGAAGAAUUUGUCCGACGGCGGGGGAUAGCCGGCCCAACGGCCGGGUAAUACCGCGUACGACCUUCGAGGGGCAUCCCUUGAUGGUGAAAGCCGCAAGGCGCCGAUGGAGAACUUCGCGGCCUAUCAGCUAGUUGGUGAGGUAAUGGCUCACCAAGGCGACGACGGGUAGCUGGUCCGAGAGGAUGACCAGCCACAUUGGGACUGAGACACGGCCCAGACUCCUACGGGAGGCAGCAGUGGGGAAUUUUGGACAAUGGGGGCAACCCUGAUCCAGCCAUGCCGCGUGAGUGAAGAAGGCCUUCGGGUUGUAAAGCUC
rnacentral:rRNA from 1 species